CAAUAGCGUAUAUUAACGUUGUUGCAGUUAAAAAGCUCGUAGUUGGAUUUCUGGAGGGAGCGUCGGCCCGUAUUUACGAGUGCGUGACGUCUCUGUCCAUCCUUGCGGGAAGGCACGGCAUUGAUUUGUUGUGUCGGAUCGCAUCAUUUACUGUGAAAAAAUUAGAGUGUUCAAAGCAGGCUUUCGCUUGAAUACAUUAGCAUGGAAUAAUAAGAUAGGACUUUGGUGCUAUUUUGUUGGUUGAGCCUAAAGUAAUGAUUAAUAGGGAUAGUUGGGGGCACCUGUAUUGCGUUGUCAGAGGUGAAAUUCUUGGAUUUACGCAAGACAAACAGCUGCGAAANCGNNNGCCAAGGAUGUCUUCAUNAA
rnacentral:rRNA from 1 species